rnacentral:rRNA from 1 species
UGGGGAAUAUUGCACAAUGGGCGCAAGCCUGAUGCAGCCAUGCCGCGUGUGUGAAGAAGGCCUUCGGGUUGUAAAGCACUUUCAGCGAGGAGGAAGGUGGUGAACUUAAUACGUUCAUCAAUUGACGUUACUCGCAGAAGAAGCACCGGCUAACUCCGUGCCAGCAGCCGCGGUAAUACGGAGGGUGCAAGCGUUAAUCGGAAUUACUGGGCGUAAAGCGCACGCAGGCGGUUUGUUAAGUCAGAUGUGAAAUCCCCGGGCUCAACCUGGGAACUGCAUUUGAAACUGGCAAGCUAGAGUCUCGUAGAGGGGGGUAGAAUUCCUGGUGUAGCGGUGAAAUGCGUAGAGAUCUGGAGGAAUACCGGUGGCGAAGGCGGCCCCCUGGACGAAGACUGACGCUCAGGUGCGAAAGCGUGGGGAGCAAACAGAUUAGNUACCCUGGUAGUCCACGCUGUAAACGAUGUCGAUUUUGGAGGUUGUG